UUAAUCUAAAAAAAAACAAAUGCUCAAGUUUUAGAAAAGAUGAAUAAAAUAAAAAUGAUAAGUACGAGAUAACAUAACCCAAAAUUUUCCUUUGCACCCUAAUCAAUAGUAGAUCUUAAAAAAAUAAUAAAAAGAUAUAUAAUUAGAUAAAGAAAUAAAUGCUAUGGAGCUGGAUCUCCUUAAUGGCAAUAUGCACUCACAUAAAAAUCUUAACAGGCCAGUCUUAUCAAAAAAAAAAAUCUUAACAGGCCAGUGCCAACAGAACCAUAACUCAGUGGUUGAGAUUUUUAACUUCCAUUGGUGUUGGUACAUUCUUUUUAUUAGAACCCAAAUAUAGGAAUUUGUAUUGAUUGAAUUGAGAAAGACAAGACUACUUAUCUUUUGUGCUUUGCUAAGUAAGAUAUACAAGGAAAAAAGCCAUGAUUUGGCUCAAAGUUUUAACAACCUACAAUAAGAUUCUAUGUGGUCGGACCAAUUCUCAACAUGCUCACCUAGGUUGUGAUUACUUUUGCUAUUGGUUUAUCCACUCGCCUUAACAUAAAUGGAAAAGAUACAGCAACAUCAUAUCCUUGAGAGAAUCUACAUCAUAUACAAAACUUCAUAUUAUGUGAUUAUGGUAUGUUAUUUGCCCAUCACAAAAUAUUACUACAUGAUGAUGGUAUGUGUAUGGAAGCAUGUUCAUUUACAUCUUGCAGAACUCUCAUAAAACAUUAAAGGCUUUUGUAAGGAUGCAUUCCAAUCACAAAGUUAGCUUAUGCGAAAAAUCAUAUAUCUUUUGUUCAGUAAUAGAAAUCUGUUUAAGCUCGGAGGAGAAAGCUAUAAAGCUAAACUAAGUGCACUUCAACCAUGUUGAUCCUCCCUCUGGUGCCCAUGAACAAAGGAAAACCAAACAAUAAUUCCUACUUACACAAUCACCAUUCCCAUUCCAGAUAUGCAAUUAGAGAAGUUGUCAUGAUCAAAAUAGUCACCAUCAAUUCCAAAUUUUCAUUUGUUUUUCCCCAUUUUCUAGAGCAGACUACUCGGUUCCAAUGCCAAUAAGAGAUUACAAAACAAAUAAAGAGUCAAAAAUCUUAUUGCCACUAUUAUAUUCCCAAGUUUUCUUUUGUUUUCCUACAACUUUGGCUCCAUCCCAUCAUUUAACCUUUCACAACCAGGGAACUCCAACUUAUCAAACCCAAAUAGAGAGUGAAAUUUUUAUUUUUCCCACAUCCCAAACACUAAAAAAAUUUUAGUGUAUUUCCUUUUUCAAAAAAAGAAGAAUAAAAACAAAAAACGACCCACUACAUUAACCUACAUAUUCAGAAAUUAAAUCAAUGAUGAAACCUGAAAGAAAAACAGAUAAAAUACACAUCACAGAUAGAACAAAAUCAUCAUAAUAAUGACUAAAAUCAAUUCAUUAGGCAUACCUAUGACCAUUUCCUCAUUAAGCAUUGAUUCAU
rnacentral:lncRNA from 1 species